AAGGAUGGGGUUCACGAACGAGUUGCCCGCUCUGAUUCUGAUUCUGAUGAGGCGACCACUACGACUACAACUACAGCUGCUACCACCUUGUCUGCAACACAAAUACAACAACUAAUCCAGUUUUUAAUUGGCCUGGCUGGAUUAGGUUAGUUAUAGAGCACUUUUCAAAUUCCAAAGUGCUUCACAAGGCAGAAAAAUUAAACAAACGAGUCAUAAAAUCACCAGAUUUAAAAAUAAAACACACAAUUUGGUGGAUGAAAAUCAACACAGUAUUGGAAAAAGUAAAAACAAUUUCGAGAGAAAUAAAGGACAAUUUAAAGGAAAUCAAAUUUCAUGUAAAAUCAGGAGGCUAUGUUUAAAGAAGGCACUUAAUCCAACUCAGGUGACCUGAUUUCUUCAGACAGAUUGUGCCAGAAACUCAGGGUUCUGACUUCAGUCGCUCUGCUUCAUUUAGUUUUCAGGCCCCUGAAACAGACAGACGUCGUCUGGGUGAGGAUUUCAAAGAGUGUACUGGUGCAUACGGUGCUUUAAUGUAGAUUUGGUUGGAAGACAGAUCAUGAAGAGCUUUGAAAGUAAACAGUAACAUCUUGUGUCCUUAAACACACCUGCUGUUUCCUUCUGCUGCUACAACUACUACAGCAGCACGAACUACAGCAGCUGCUCCAUCGUUCUAUCUGAAAUUUAACCAAUAAGUGAAUGAAAACGAGUUUAAUAUUCUAUUUCCUGUUGGUUGAAAAUGUUUCUUGAGAAUGUGUUCUUAUUGUCUCCUCUCAAAUUUGAAUCCUGUGUAUUUUUCACCAGACCACACUGCCAAAUAAAGUUCAUGAAUGUAAAAUA